rnacentral:tRNA from 1 species
GACUCGGUAGCUCAGUUGGUAGAGCAAAUGACUCUUAAUCAUUGGGUCGAGGGUUCGAGCCCCUCCCGGGUCAC